rnacentral:rRNA from 1 species
GAUGAACGCUGGCGGCGUGCCUAAUACAUGCAAGUCGAGCGAACAGAUGAGAAGCUUGCUUCUCUGAUGUUAGCGGCGGACGGGUGAGUAACACGUGGGUAACCUACCUAUAAGACUGGGAUAACUCCGGGAAACCGGGGCUAAUACCGGAUAAUAUUUUGAACCGCAUGGUUCAAUAGUGAAAGACGGUUUCGGCUGUCACUUAUAGAUGGACCCGCGCCGUAUUAGCUAGUUGGUAAGGUAACGGCUUACCUAGGCGACGGUACGUAGCCGACCUGAGAGGGUGAUCGGCCACACUGGAACUGAGACACGGUCCAGACUCCUACGGGAGGCAGCAGUAGGGAAUCUUCCGCAAUGGGCGAAAGCCUGACGGAGCAACGCCGCGUGAGUGAUGAAGGUCUUCGGAUCGUAAAACUCUGUUGUUAGGGAAGAACAAAUUUGUUAGUAACUGAACAAGUCUUGACGGUACCUAACCAGAAAGCCACGGCUAACUACGUGCCAGCCGCCGCAGUAA